rnacentral:lncRNA from 1 species
UUGGAAGAUCUUCUAAUUGACAAUCAUAUUGUCUUAGAAGUAUAUAUCCUAUAUAUGGGUAAUUGAUAACAUCCGACGAACUAAAUCUUAUUCGAGUUCGUUCUUCUCUUAAUGGAGAAAUCCAUUAUCUUAUGAUGCUUCUUUCCUUGAUAUCUUUCAAGGAAACUGUUCUAAAGUGUUACCUUUCUUUGGAUCAAAUCUAAGGAGGUAAAUACUUUAGACGUCUUACUCAUCAACUUACAUUCUUGAAUUCUUUGAAACCUUUUGCAAAGUAUUUGGACUUGUGUUUAUUCAAAAUAAACGUUAGUCCAACCGAGAGCGAUGUUCGGUGAAUGUCAUAGAACAUGAGUAGUAUUUUGUUGUGGACAAGUGCCACUAACAUCAAAGUGAAUUAACCUCAACAACUUUUCUAUUCUUUCUUCCUUUCCAAAAGAAUAAAGAUUCAAACAUUUUUCCUCUAUACAAUUUUAACAAGAAGGCAUUGGAUCCGGAUCUAACGAUCCAAAGCAUCCAUCUAUGACCAACUCAUAAUUUAUGUUUUAAAGGUAUCACAACUCAGUUGGGAUUAGUCACUACCUUGCAACCUUUUGGGUUUUAAGCAUCGUUAUAUUCUAAACAGUUAACACUACCAUAUGAUCUCUACUAUAGAGAUAAUCAAUUAGAUUACAAUAAUCUAAUCAUUCAUUAAUAAAGAACAAUGUUUUGUCAAACAAAACAUUCAUCCAUUUCUCAUACGGAAUUAAGUUCCUUUAUUCAAAUUGGAAUGUAAAGACAAUCUUUGUUUUCCAUUUUCUUUGGUAGUUCAUAUGAGGAAGUAAGUACUACCUACGUUCACAGAGAUCUAUAUUUGAUUCACGUUCCGAAUGUGAAGUACUUUCUCUUCUCUCAUUAAUCUUCUACUUCUUAUUAGCCACACUUUUACAACGAUUGUAAAACAUAGUUACUAAUAUGGAAUCAAGCAUUCAAGUAGAAGAACCAUUUGUUUUGAACUUUUCAAGAACAAUUUACAACACCUUCGAAAGGUGUGUUCUUGACACUUGCAAGACAUUUCUUGCAAAUACCCCUUCCAAUGUCCAUCCUUUCAUAAAGAAAGUUUGUUCCCUUUGAGUUAUUUCCACUUCUUCAUUUGACUUCUCCUUUGACUACAAUAGUCAUGGUCCCUAAACUCCCACUAUCUCUCUUGAAACUUAUUUCAAUUGUAUUAUACACAUCAAAUAAUUUGGAGAGCGUGUGGUUAUUGUUCACUAUAUAGUUUAUAAUAAACUUAGUGAACCAUUUGGAUAGGGACACGAAAGUGAAGUCCUUCCCUAGUUUCCAUCUCUAGAAGUGGUUUAACACUUCAACACUCAAUGAUUCAAAAUCAUCAUAAGUCCAUGUUGAUGGACUAUUUUUGUCAACCAACCAUUAUGUUCUAAAUAUAAUUACAAACUUUCAAGAGUUGUUCAAGGAAACUCUCAUUUCUUAAUACAACAAUUUGUAAGUGAAGAAUCAUGGCACAUAAAGUGUCCAUGCCCUUGUGCUUACUUCUCAAGUUCCUUGUUCAUGUAACAAAGAAACAAGCACUAAUGUUUACGUUAGCUAAGGGUUGUUCAAAGCAACUCUUAUUUCUUCAUACAACAAUUUGUAAUUGAAGAAUUAUGACAUUAAAAGUGUUGUCCUCUUUAUGAUAGACUUAUCUAACAUGUUCUUCCAAUGAUACAUUUUCAAUAGGAAGAUUGUGAGGAUGAGACUACUUAGGUACAUAUACAAGCCAUU